AACGAACGCUGGCGGCAGGCCUAACACAUGCAAGUCGAGCGCCCGCAAGGGAGCGGCAGACGGGUGAGUAACACGUGGGAACCUACCCUUUCCUACGGAAUAACACAGAGAAAUUUGUGCUAAUACCGUAUACGCCUUCGGGAAGGAUCAUCGGGAGGAUGGCCGCGUCCGAUUAGCUGGUUGGUGGGUAAGUGGCCUACCAAGGCGACGAUCGGUAGCUGGUCUGAGAGGAUGAUCAGCCACAUUGGGACUGAGACACGGCCCAAACUCCUACGGGAGGCAGCAGUGGGGAAUAUUGGACAAUGGGCGCAAGCCUGAUCCAGCCAUGCCGCGUGAGUGAUGAAGGCCUUAGGGUUGUAAAGCUCUUUCACCCACGACGAUAAUGACGGUAGUGGGAGAAGAAGCCCCGGCUAACUUCGUGCCAGCAGCCG
rnacentral:rRNA from 1 species